rnacentral:snRNA from 1 species
GGAUGUGGGCGAUCUGGCUGCAACAUCUGUCACCCCACUGAUCGUCUGGAUUGAUUCGGCUGAUCUGGCAGGCUAGGCGGGUGUCCCCUUCCUCCCUCACCGCUUCAUGUGCGUCCCUCCCAAAGCUGCGUGCUUGGGAGGACUGAGAUUUACCCUAAUAGAGACAGACUGGUUUUUGGGUAUACGAGUAGCUGUGCUCCCCUGCUAGAACCUCCAAACAAGCUCCCUAUCAUAAUAAAAUAGAAAGAAAGGAAAAAAUGAUUCAUAGUGCUAU